GACAAGCGGUGGAGUGUGUGGUUUAAUUCGAUGCAACGCGAAGAACCUUACCUGGUCUUGACAUCCCGGAGACCCUUAGGAAACUAGGGGGUGGCUUCCAUCUGGAAGGAAUCUGGAGACAGGUGCUGCAUGGCUGUCGUCAGCUCGUGUCGUGAGAUGUUGGGUUAAGUCCCGCAACGAGCGCAACCCUUGCCUUUAGUUGCCAGCAGUUCGGCUGGGCACUCUAAAGGGACUGCCGGUGUUAAACCGGAGGAAGGUGGGGAUGACGUCAAGUCCUCAUGGCCUUUAUGACCAGGGCUACACACGUACUACAAUGGCCGAUACAAAGGGCAGCGACACUGCGAGGUGAAGCCAAUCCCGUAAAAUCGGUCUCAGUCCGGAUUGGAGUCUGCAACUCGACUCCAUGAAGUUGGAAUCGCUAGUAAUCGUGGAUCAGCAUGCCACGGUGAAUACGUUCCCGGGCCUU
rnacentral:rRNA from 1 species